GACGAACGCUGGCGGCGUGCUUAACACAUGCAAGUCGAGCGGUAAGGCCCUUUCGGGGGUACACGAGCGGCGAACGGGUGAGUAACACGUGGGUGACCUGCCCUCAGCUCUGGGAUAAGCCUGGGAAACCGGGUCUAAUACUGGAUAUGACUCCAUGACGCAUGUUGUGGGGUGGAAAGCCUUGUGCGGCUGAGGAUGGGCCCGCGGCCUAUCAGCUUGUUGGUGGGGUGAUGGCCUACCAAGGCGACGACGGGUAGCCGGCCUGAGAGGGCGACCGGCCACACUGGGACUGAGACACGGCCCAGACUCCUACGGGAGGCAGCAGUGGGGAAUCUUGCGCAAUGGGCGAAAGCCUGACGCAGCGACGCCGCGUGAGGGGUGACGGCC
rnacentral:rRNA from 1 species